rnacentral:tRNA from 1 species
CGUCGGCGUAGACGGCCGACGGGAGCCGCGCCGCGGGCGCGGCGGGUCGGUCCGGUUCCGGUCCGGGGCCGCCGA